rnacentral:rRNA from 1 species
CCCUUAGAUGUUCUGGGCCGCACGCGCGCUACACUGAUGCAUUCAACGAGUCUAAAACCUGCUCUGAUAGGGGUGGGUAAUCUUUUGAAUGUGCAUCGUGAUUGGGAUAGAUGAUUGCAAUUUUUCAUCUUCAACGAGGAAUGCCUAGUAAACGCAAGUCAUCAGCUUGCAUUGAUUACGUCCCUGCCCUUUGUACACACCGCCCGUCUCUCCUACCGAUUGAAUGAUCCGAUGAAUAUCAUGGAUUGAGGAUGCAAGUAGGUUCGCCUAUCUUCAUCUUCGAGAAGUGAAGUAAAUCUUAUCAUUUAGAGGAAGGAGAAGUCGUAACA